AAACUUUGCAAUGUGCGAAAGCACGACAAGGUUAAUCCGAGUGGUUUCUGCUAAAGGAACCUUUUGACAGUCCUAGAAACACUGUUGAAUAAGGGGUGGGCAAGUUCUGGUGUCAGCCGCCGCGGUAAAACCAGCACCUCAAGUGGUCAGGAUGAUUAUUGGGCCUAAAGCAUCCGUAGCCGGCUCUGUAAGUUUUCGGUUAAAUCUGUACGCUUAACGUACAGGCUGCUGAGAAUACUGCAGGGCUAGGGAGUGGGAGAGGUAGACGGUACUCGGGAGGAAGUGGUAAAAUGCUUUGAUCUCUCGAUGACCACCUGUGGCGAAGGCGGUCUACCAGAACAUGUCCGACGGUGAGGGAUGAAAGCUGGGGGAGCAAACCGGAUUAGAUACCCGGGUAGUCCCAGCUGUAAACUAUGCAAACUCAGUGAUGCAUUGGCUUGUGGCCAGUGCAGUGUUGCAGGGAAGCCGUUAAGUUUGCCGCCUGGGAAGUACGUACGCAAGUAUGAAACUUAAAGGAAUUGGCGGGGGAGCAC
rnacentral:rRNA from 1 species